rnacentral:pre_miRNA from 1 species
UAGGAUAUCUACAUGUGAAUGUUGUUAAAAUGCAGAUACUGAUUCAGUAGGUCUGAGUUAGGGCCAGGAUUUUGCAUUUCUAAUAAACUCCCAGUUGAUGCCAGU